rnacentral:rRNA from 1 species
ACUGAGACACGGCCCAGACUCCUACGGGAGGCAGCAGUAGGGAAUAUUGGACAAUGGGGGAAACCCUGAUCCAGCAAUGCCGCGUGAGUGAAGAAGGCCCUCGGGUUGUAAAACUCUUUCAUCAAUGAUGAUAAUGACAUUAGUUGAAGAAGAAGCUCCGGCUAACUUCGUGCCAGCAGCCGCGGUAAUACGAAGGGGGCUAGCGUUGUUCGGAAUCACUGGGCGUAAAGCGUAUGUAGGCGGAUCAAAAAGUUAGAUGUGAAAUCCCUGGGCUCAACCCAGGAACUGCAUUUAAAACUAGUGAUCUAGAAUUUGGUAAAGGUUAGUAGAAUUUCCAGUGUAGAGGUGAAAUUCGUAGAUAUUGGAAAGAAUACCAGAAGCGAAGGCGACUAACUAGGCCAUUUUUGACGCUGAGAUACGAAAGCGUGGGUAGCAAACAGGAUUAGAUACCCUGGUAGUCCACGCAGUAAACGAUGAGUGCUAGUCGCUGGGACAAUAGUUUCAGUGUCGAAGCUAACGCAUUAAGCACUCCGCCUGGGAAGUACGGUCGCAAGAUUAAAACUCAAAUAAAUUGACGGGGGCCCGCACAAGCGGUGGAGCAUGUGGUUUAAUUCGAAGCAACGCGAAGAACCUUACCAGACCUUGACAUGGUGUGUUUGAAUUACAGAAUCGUAAUUCUUCAGUUCGGCUGGCACACACACAGGUGCUGCAUGGCUGUCGUCAGCUCGUGUCGUGAGAUGUUGGGUUAAGUCCCGCAACGAGCGCAACCCUCAUUUUUAGUUGCCAUCAGGUUAUGCUGGGCACUCUAGAAAAACUGCCGGUGAUAAGCUGGAGGAAGGCGGGGAUGACGUCAAGUCCUCAUGGCCCUUACGGUCUGGGCUACACACGUGCUACAAUGGUGGUGACAGAGGGCAGCAAUAUCGCAAGAUAAAGCUAAUCCCAAAAAACCAUCUCAGUUCGGAUUGGACUCUGCAACUCGAGUCCAUGAAGUUGGAAUCGCUAGUAAUCGUAGAUCAGCGUGCUACGGUGAAUACGUUCUCGGGCCUUGUACACACCGCCCGUCACGCCAUGGGAGUUGGUUUUACCUUAAGCCGGUGCGCUAACCGCAAGGAAGCAGCCGUCCACGGUAGGGUCAGCGACUGGGGCGAAGUCGUAACAAGGUAACCGUAGGGGAACCUGCGGUUG